UCUGGUGAUGAAACCGGAGAGGUCACACCCGUUCUCAUUCCGAAUACGGCCGUUACGUUCUCCAGGGGCGAUGGUACUGCUUUUGCGGGAGAGUAGCUCGUUGCCAGAA
rnacentral:rRNA from 1 species